rnacentral:rRNA from 1 species
GAUUAACGCUAGCGGAAGGCAUAAUACAUGCAGGUCGAACGGGAUAGAACAUAGCAAUAGGUUCUUGAGAGUGGCGCACGGGUGCGUAACACGUAUGCAACCUACCUUUAACUGGGGGAUAGCCUCUCGAAAGAGAGAUUAAUACCCCAUAACAUAUUGAAUAAGCAUUUAUAUGAUAUUAAAGAUUUAUCGGUUAAAGAUGGGCAUGCGGCUGAUUAGGUAGUGGGUGAGGUAACGGCUCACCAAGCCAACGAUCAGUAGGGGGUCUAAGGGGAUGUCCCCCCACACUGGUACUGCGACACGGACCAGACUCCUACGGGAGGCAGCAGUAGGGAAUAUUGGACAAUGGGGGCAACCCUGAUCCAGCCAUUCCGCGUGCAGGAAUAAGGCCCUAUGGGUCGUAAACUGCUUUUGUAUGGGAAAAAAUCAUCUUACGUGUAGGAUGUUGAUGGUACCAUGAGAAUAAGGAUCGGCUAACUUCGUGCCAGCAGCCGCGGUAA